rnacentral:rRNA from 1 species
AUGAACGCUAGCGGCAGGCCUAAUACAUGCAAGUCGAACGGGAUCCGCGGGUAGCUUGCUACCUUCGGUGAGAGUGGCGCACGGGUGCGUAACGCGUGAGCAACCUGCCCGUCCCAGGGGGAUAGCCCCUCGAAAGAGGGAUUAACACCGCAUAACGCUGGAGGAUGGCAUCAUCUUCCGGCCAAAUAUUCAUAGGGGACGGAUGGGCUCGCGUGGCAUUAGCUAGUUGGUAAGGUAACGGCUUACCAAGGCGAUGAUGCCUAGGGGCUCUGAGAGGAGAAUCCCCCACACUGGUACUGAGACACGGACCAGACUCCUACGGGAGGCAGCAGUAAGGAAUAUUGGUCAAUGGGCGCAAGCCUGAACCAGCCAUGCCGCGUGCAGGAAGACGGCCCUAUGGGUUGUAAACUGCUUUUGUCAGGGAACAAACCCCCGCUCGUGAGCGGGGCUGAGUGUACCUGAAGAAUAAGGAUCGGCUAACUCCGUGCCGGCAGCCGCGGUAAUACGGAGGAUCCGAGCGUUAUCCGGAUUUAUUGGGUUUAAAGGGUGCGUAGGCGGCACGCUAAGUCAGUGGUGAAAGACGGUGGCUCAACCAUCGCAGUGCCGUUGAUACUGGUGUGCUUGAAUGCGGAUGAGGUAGGCGGAAUGUGGCAAGUAGCGGUGAAAUGCAUAGAUAUGCCACAGAACACCGAUUGCGAAGGCAGCUUACCAAGGCGCGAUUGACGCUGAUGCACGAAAGCGUGGGGAUCGAACAGGAUUAGAUACCCUGGUAGUCCACGCCCUAAACGAUGAUGACUCGGUGUCGGCGAUACACUGCCGGCGCCCAAGCGAAAGCGUUAAGUCAUCCACCUGGGGAGUACGCCCGCAAGGGUGAAACUCAAAGGAAUUGACGGGGGCCCGCACAAGCGGAGGAGCAUGUGGUUUAAUUCGAUGAUACGCGAGGAACCUUACCCGGGCUUGAAAGUUAGUGAAUGGACCAGAGACGGUCCAGUCCUUCGGGACACGAAACUAGGUGCUGCAUGGCUGUCGUCAGCUCGUGCCGUGAGGUGUUGGGUUAAGUCCCGCAACGAGCGCAACCCCUAUGGAUAGUUGCCAGCAUGUAACGGUGGGGACUCUAUCCAGACUGCCUGUGCAAACAGUGAGGAAGGCGGGGACGACGUCAAGUCAUCAUGGCCCUUACGUCCGGGGCUACACACGUGCUACAAUGGCCGGUACAAAGGGUUGCGAUACUGUGAGGUGGAGCUAAUCCCAAAAAGCCGGUCUCAGUUCGGAUUGGGGUCUGCAACUCGACCCCAUGAAGUCGGAGUCGCUAGUAAUCGCAGAUCAGCAACGCUGCGGUGAAUACGUUCCCGGGCCUUGUACACACCGCC